CCUACGGGUGGCAGCAGUGGGGAAUAUUGCACAAUGGGGGAAACCCUGAUGCAGCGAUGCCGCGUGAAGGAAGAAGUAUCUCGGUAUGUAAACUUCUAUCAGCAGGGAAGAAAAUGACGGUACCUGACUAAGAAGCCCCGGCUAACUACGUGCCAGCAGCCGCGGUAAUACGUAGGGGGCAAGCGUUAUCCGGAUUUACUGGGUGUAAAGGGAGCGUAGACGGGAGUGCAAGUCUGGAGUGAAAGGCAGGGGCUCAACCCCUGGACUGCUUUGGAAACUGUAGUCCUAGAGUGCCGGAGAGGUAAGCGGAAUUCCUAGUGUAGCGGUGAAAUGCGUAGAUAUUAGGAGGAACACCAGUGGCGAAGGCGGCUUACUGGACGGUAACUGACGUUGAGGCUCGAAAGCGUGGGGAGCAAACAGGAUUAGAUACCCCUGUAGUC
rnacentral:rRNA from 1 species